AACGAACGCUGGCGGCAUGCCUAACACAUGCAAGUCGAACGAGACCUUCGGGUCUAGUGGCGCACGGGUGCGUAACGCGUGGGAACCUGCCCUUAGGUUCGGAAUAACUCCCCGAAAGGGGUGCUAAUACCGGAUAAUGUCUUCGGACCAAAGAUUUAUCGCCUUUGGAUGGGCCCGCGUUGGAUUAGCUAGUUGGUAGGGUAAAAGCCUACCAAGGCGACGAUCCAUAGCUGGUCUGAGAGGAUGAUCAGCCACACUGGGACUGAGACACGGCCCAGACUCCUACGGGAGGCAGCAGUGGGGAAUAUUGGACAAUGGGCGAAAGCCUGAUACAGCAAUGCCGCGUGAGUGAUGAAGGCCUUAGGGUUGUAAAGCUGUUUUACCCGGGAUGAUAAUGACAGUACCGGGAGAAUAAGCUCCGGCUAACUCCGUG
rnacentral:rRNA from 1 species